rnacentral:rRNA from 1 species
GACGAACGCUGGUGGCGUGCUUAACACAUGCAAGUCGAACGGGAUUUAGUAAACAGAAGCCUCGGUGGAAGAUUACUAAUGAGAGUGGCGAACGGGUGAGUAACGCGUGAGCAACCUGCCUAUGACAGUGGGAUAGCCUCGGGAAACCGGGAUUAAUACCGCAUAAAAUCGUAGAAACACAUGUUUUAACGGUCAAAGAUUUAUCGGUCAUAGAUGGGCUCGCGUCUGAUUAGCUAGUUGGUGAGAUAACAGCCCACCAAGGCGACGAUCAGUAGCCGGUCUGAGAGGAUGAACGGCCACAUUGGAACUGAGACACGGUCCAAACUCCUACGGGAGGCAGCAGUGGGGAAUAUUGCACAAUGGGGGAAACCCUGAUGCAGCGACGCCGCGAGAACGAAGAAGGUAUUCGUAUCGUAAAGUUCUGUCCUAUGGGAAGAUAAUGACAGUACCAUAGAAGAAAGCUCCGGCUAAAUACGUG